AACGAACGCUGGCGGCAUGCCUAACACAUGCAAGUCGAACGAGACCUUCGGGUCUAGUGGCGCACGGGUGCGUAACGCGUGGGAACCUGCCCUUAGGUUCGGAAUAACUCCCCGAAAGGGGUGCUAAUACCGGAUAAUGUCUUCGGACCAAAGAUUUAUCGCCUUUGGAUGGGCCCGCGUUGGAUUAGCUAGUUGGUAGGGUAAAAGCCUACCAAGGCGACGAUCCACAGCUGGUCUGAGAGGAUGAUCAGCCACACUGGGACUGAGACACGGCCCAGACUUCUACGGGAGGCAGCAGUGGGGAAUAUUGGAAAAUGGGCGAAAGCCUGAUCCAGCAAUGCCGCGUGAGUGAUGAAGGCCUUAGGGUUGUAAAGCUCUUUUACCCGGGAUGAUAAUGACAGUACCGGGAGAAUAAGCUCCGGCUAACUACGUG
rnacentral:rRNA from 1 species